ACCCUUGUUCAAAGAUGAGAAAUAAUUCUUUAGUGCUUCUCAAAUAUUUAAAAAUAUUUUUACAGCAAUCCAAUGCUCCCAGUCUGGAUUUGACUAAUAUCUGCUCGUGACUUUUAUAGCAAGAUAUAGCAAGUCGAGUACAUAGCAUGGCAUAUACCUAUGCCCAAGAGGAUAACGGAUCCCUCUUGGAGGUUUCAAUGAUG
rnacentral:lncRNA from 1 species